UACAACGAGUCGCAAGACCGCGAGGUUUAGCAAAUCUCUUAAAGCCGUUCUCAGUUCGGAUUGUAGGCUGCAACUCGCCUACAUGAAGUCGGAAUCGCUAGUAAUCGCGGANCAGCAUGCCGCGGUGAAUACGUUCCCGGGCCUUGUACACACCGCCCGUCACACCAUGAGAGUUUGUAACACCCAAAGCCGGUGGGGUAACCUUUUGGAGCCAGCCGUCUAAGGUGGGACAGAUGAUUAGGGUGAAGUCGUAACAAGGUAAC
rnacentral:rRNA from 1 species